rnacentral:tRNA from 1 species
AAACUUAUAAUUUAAUGGUUAGAAUAAUUCUUGAUGAGAAUAAGUAGAAGUUAAAAUCUUCUUAAGCUUA